rnacentral:rRNA from 1 species
GGAAUUUUGGGCAAUGGGCGAAAGCCUGACCCAGCAACGCCGCGUGAAGGAUGAAGUCCUUCGGGAUGUAUACUUCGUAAGAAUGGGAAGAAUAAAUGACGGUACCAUUUAUAAGGUCCGGCUAACUACGUGCCAGCAGCCGCGGUAAUACGUAGGGACCAAGCGUUGUUCGGAUUUACUGGGCGUAAAGGGCGCGUAGGCGGCGUGGUAAGUCACUUGUGAAAUCUCUGAGCUUAACUCAGAACGGCCAAGUGAUACUGCUGUGCUAGAGUGCAGAAGGGGCAAUCGGAAUUCUUGGUGUAGCGGUGAAAUGCGUAGAUAUCAAGAGGAACACCUGAGGUGAAGACGGGUUGCUGGGCUGACACUGACGCUGAGGCGCGAAAGCCAGGGGAGCAAAC